rnacentral:tRNA from 1 species
AAGAUUAUAGGUUAUAAAUUAAACCAGUAGCCUUCAAAGCUAAAAAUUAAGGUCUUA